UUGUGGAGGAGGACGCCGAAGGUGGGGCUAAUGACUGGGGUGAAGUCGUAACAAGGUAGCCGUACCGGAAGGUGCGGCUGGAUCACCUCCUAACAGGGAGACAACAAAAUGUUAGAUAUUAAUUUUGUCACCUUAGGUCGAUCGGUAUCUCACAUUCUUAAUUUAUUAAGGAUUUUAUCUCCUAAGUUUUUUCUAGGUCACACCCAUUACUUUUCCUGGGCCAUUAGCUCAGGUGGUUAGAGCGCACCCCUGAUAAGGGUGAGGUCCCUGGUUCAAGUCCAGGAUGGCCCAUAUCUCUAUGUUGGGGGUAUAGCUCAGUUGGUAGAGCGCCUGCUUUGCAAGCAGGAUGUCAGCGGUUCGAGUCCGCUUACCUCCACUGAUUACCACCUCUUUCAUGUUUUAUAGAAAGGAAAUGUAUUGAGUUGUGAUCAAAUUCUGAACGAAUCUAGCUUCCUAAUAAAACUUAUUAAGAUGCUGGACUCAUUGAAUUAAAUUCAUUGUUUUCAGAGAACCUUGACAACUGCAUAGAUUAUUUUUAAAGACAAUAAGCAUCUUUAAUGAUGCAGAUUUAUUAUUUGUGCGAAUGCAUUAAUAACAAUUCUAUUAAGCUGAUGCUUCAAUUUUUGAAGUUAUUGGUCAAGCUACAA
rnacentral:misc_RNA from 1 species